AGUGCUGACCAAAUACGACUGGCAUUACAUCUGUCAACUGCAGCGAACAAGAGUACAUGGAAUACACAGCAAUAAGCGCCAGAUAAUUUUCCUUUAUAACACCUGAUAUUGAUAAAACACUUUCAUUCAACGUGUCAUCAUCGGUCAAGACUGUAACCAAUAUCCAAUCGCAAGUACAGUCGUUAUCUGGUCAUUAUUCGCUUUUCUUUUGAUAAUUAAACCCUUUAUUUCACUAAGAUUAUCAGUAAAUUGGCACUUUUAGAAGCAGAACUCAUAUAUUGCUUUUUUCACAUCUUUAAUAAUGGGAAAAAUGAACAAAAGUAAUAGAUGUUUUAAAAAAGCUCUCACUCCUCAACCUCUCAUAUACAAGUUACUAGUAACCAACAGGACUACUCCAUAAUCCUUUUGAUGACUUGACGUGCCUGAAUGGCGCCAAAUGUAACGCUAGCUAUGAGAGCAACAUGGGGGUGUGCGAGUGCAAGCCUGGAUACCUCGGGAAAAGAUGUGAAAAAGCUUCAGAUUGUUUGCUCGCUCUUGGAGUGGAAAGUUCUUUCAUCGCAAACUGGCAGAUGACAGGCUCAUCUUCAAUGGCUGGAUCUUCAAUGCCUUACAGUGCACUCUUGAAUAACCAAUACACUUCCGGCCAGACAUUUGGGAUCUGGAGAGCCAAGAGAGAGCAAGCCGGCGAGUACUUACAGGUGGAUUUACUCGUGGUGAAGAACAUCAACAAAGUCGCCACACAAGGGAACCCGUCGAAUAUCAAUUCGAGGAGUUUGAACUAAUGGGUGACUAGAUACGAGCUCAGCCUUGGUGCCGUUGCCUUGACAACCUACCCUCGUGAAUUUUCUGGAAAUACCGACCGUGACACGGUGGUGUCACACAUCCUUCCGGUCACCAUUCAGACCAGGUACAUCCGGUUCGUGGUGAAGGCUUGGAAUGAGUUGCCUCAAGUGACCAUGAUUUAAAAGAACGAAUCCCCGUGGCCCAUGAUAACGUCCAUGAAAGCUAUUUUUAGAUUGCGCGAGCUUGUCAAUCAUAGCAUCCAUAUAUGGUUCGUCGCGCCAUAUUUGGUUAUGGGCACAAUUUCACAACAAUUUCUUUCCCUCUGCACUUCUUUACUUCGUUCGCGACCUGUUUUUAUCCUUUUAGCUUCUCUUCAAGGCUCAUGAUCACAAUGAUCACAAGGGUGGUGUCCUGGUAUCUGUUAAGUUAUCUAAAUGUUAUAUAAAUAAUUGAACGGGAAGACGUCGGGGAGACGGUGAAUUUGGAGUUCAUUCACAUGAGGAGCCCCAGCCGGCCUGAAAUGGCUUUGCACACCUAUUUUAGGCGUGCAAAAAUACACCUUAGCAGGGGAUUAGUGGUCAAAAGGUGUAUAAAAUCUGUAAGCACGCGCGGGGUCGUAUUACACAACUACUGUUUAUAUCUUUCAACGUCA